CAGUCGCCGCGGUAAUACAGAGGGUGCAAGCGUUAAUCGGAAUUACUGGGCGUAAAGCGCGCGUAGGCGGCUUCUUAAGUCGGAUGUGAAAUCCCUGAGCUUAACUUAGGAAUUGCAUUCGAUACUGGGAAGCUAGAGUAUGGGAGAGGAUGGUAGAAUUCCAGGUGUAGCGGUGAAAUGCGUAGAGAUCUGGAGGAAUACCGAUGGCGAAGGCAGCCAUCUGGCCUAAUACUGACGCUGAGGUACGAAAGCAUGGGGAGCAAACAGGAUUAGAUACCCCCGUAGUCCCUGUCUCUUAUAC
rnacentral:rRNA from 1 species